UGGGGGAUAUUGCACAAUGGGCGAAAGCCUGAUGCAGCGACGCCGCGUGGGGGAUGAAGGCUUUCGGGUUGUAAACCUCUUUCGCUAUCGAACAAGGCCCGCUUAGGGUGGGUUGAGGGUAGGUGGAGAAGAAGCGCCGGCUAACUACGUGCCAGCAGCCGCGGUAAUACGUAGGGCGCGAGCGUUGUCCGGAAUUAUUGGGCGUAAAGGGCCUGUAGGCGGCUUGUUGCGCCUGCUGUGAAAACGCGGGGCUUAACUUCGCGCGUGCAGUGGGUACGGGCAGGCUUGAGUGUGGUAGGGGUGACUGGAAUUCCGGGUGUAGCGGUGGAAUGCGCAGAUAUCUGGAGGAACACCGAUGGCGAAGGCAGGUCACUGGGCCAUUACUGACGCUGAGGAGCGAAAGCAUGGGUAGCGAACAGG
rnacentral:rRNA from 1 species